UUAAGUGGGCCAUGAAGGAUCUGCUGGAUCAGAUAGCAAUUACGUUUGAGCCACAUGUGGGUAUUAUCUGGCACAUAUGGCCUAGAUGUGGCGUGGCUAUUCAGAUAUGGGCCAAAUUGUGGCCAUAUUUGUUUUGCCAUAACUUUAAAAUCGGCGGGAAAUGCUCUCUUGGUUCACAACUCAUUUUGAGGUAUAUGGCCAAGAUAACAACGAACACAUGAGAACCAUAUGUGGUUGAGCUAUGGCACACAGUGAGAAACACGGACUUGUGGUAAACUUUUGGCUUAUACGUGGAAAAACACAGGAAUCCUGAAAUCAAGUGCGGCAGACAUCCUCCAUCCCACACCUCAGGUUGCUAUGCGUCUUCCCUCCUAUUGGUGGAGUGAGACUAUGGCGCGACUGUGACUGAGACUCGGGCAGUGGGCGGCAUUUCCGCUUUCCUCACGACUGUGUAAGCUACGUUCGGAUUUGUCCAGGUGAACAACUCUUCUGCCUCCUACUGAGUCUGCACCAUUCUCCUGGAGAAAGCUGCUCUCUCCUCACCACUUCUGGCUGGACUCCCAGAACCAAACUGACCUGGAAUCUAUUCUAACCAAGGCAUGGCCUUCACUUCUAGAGCUUCCAAAAACUACUGCACCAACUUUCUUCAGCUUUUUUUCACUAACAACUUCACUGUGGAUGUCGCUCGGCCCCCACCUGCCUCUCCGUGUGCCUCGCUCACCCCACCUGCCUCACCGUGUGCCUCGCUCCCCACUCCUGCCUCACCAUGUGCCUCACUCACUCCUCGUGCCUCUCCGUGUGCCUUGCUCCCCACUCUUUUUCCUAGUGUUUGUAGCCUUUGUCAUUUUCCCUAAUUAAAUUCCUUUUUAUGUUAUCCCUGCUUUUGGGUUUGUAUUUUAUCUAAUACUGCCUGUUCUCUGACACUCUCAGCAGUCCCCGCAUUGACCUGACUCAUCAGUCAGGUCAAUGCUGGGAUUUGAGUCAGAUAGAUUAUUUUAGAGAAUCAGUUCAUUUAGUUUUUUUAUAUCACAAUUGCUUACUGAUCAAAAACCACCCAGUCCUAAGUCAGCUGCUAAAUGAAUAACAGCAGAGACCUGGAGCACCCGACCCACCUCAAAUUUGAGGAGAGACCGGUAAUGUCCCAUCCCUCUGCAACUUCCCUGACUCAAUUCGGUGUGGGAGGAAAAAAAUAAAAAGAUGAUUUAAUAAAAAUGUAGGCCAAGUGUUACUGGGGAGGGCUCGGUACAGAGUGGGAGUUUCGAGGUGGCUGUUCAAAAGUUUAAGUCCCCUUUCAGUUUAUCAGAACUGGGAAGGUUGGGUAAACUAUGAUGACUCAAUAGGUAAAAACCCACUGCCUCAGAACUUGCAUCAAGCAAUGUCUUAUGCUGUUGCUCAGAGAUUCCAUUCCCAAGCAUGUGACUGGAAGCUGAUAAAAGACAGAAUUAAUUAACUUCUCAGAGAUAAAAAAAAGUUUUCUCUUUUUUAAAAUUUACAGUAAUGCUGCAAGAACUGUU